GAUGAACGCUGGCGGCGUGCCUAAUACAUGCAAGUCGAGCGAACAGACGAGGAGCUUGCUCCUCUGACGUUAGCGGCGGACGGGUGAGUAACACGUGGAUAACCUACCUAUAAGACUGGGAUAACUUCGGGAAACCGGAGCUAAUACCGGAUAAUAUAUUGAACCGCAUGGUUCAAUAGUGAAAGACGGUUUUGCUGUCACUUAUAGAUGGAUCCGCGCCGCAUUAGCUAGUUGGUAAGGUAACGGCUUACCAAGGCAACGAUGCGUAGCCGACCUGAGAGGGGGAUAGCCCACACAGGAACUGAGACACGCGCCCGACACCUCCGCGAGGGGCAGGAGGGGAAUCUCCCGCGAUGGGCGAAAGCGUGACGGGGCAACGCCGCGUGAGUGAGGAAGGUCUUCUGGUCGUAAAACUCUGUUUUUAGGGAAGAAAAAAUGUGUAAGUAACUAUGCACGUCUUUACGGUACCUAAUCAGAAAGACCCGGCUAAAUACGUG
rnacentral:rRNA from 1 species